rfam:Gloeophyllum trabeum ATCC 11539 unplaced genomic scaffold GLOTRscaffold_00009, whole genome shotgun sequence.
CCUUCGGUAGCUCAGUUGGAAGAGCGCAAGACUGUAAUGGCGGAAUUUCCUGCGUAAUCUUCAUUUACGAAAUCUUGAUGUCGCUGGUUCGAUCCCGGCCCGAAGGA